rnacentral:rRNA from 1 species
AGGGAGCUUGCCUUGGAUUCAGCGGCGGACGGGUGAGUAAUGCCUAGGAAUCUGCCUGGUAGUGGGGGAUAACGUCCGGAAACGGCCGCUAAUACCGCAUACGUCCUGAGGGAGAAAGUCGGGGAUCUUCGGACCUCACGCUAUCAGAUGAGCCUAGGUCGGAUUAGCUAGUUGGUGGGGUAAAGGCCUACCAAGGCGACGAUCCGUAACUGGUCUGAGAGGAUGAUCAGUCACACUGGAACUGAGACACGGUCCAGACUCCUACGGGAGGCAGCAGUGGGGAAUAUUGGACAAUGGGCGCAAGCCUGAUCCAGCCAUGCCGCGUGUGUGAAGAAGGUCUUCGGAUUGUAAAGCACUUUAAGUUGGGAGGAAGGGCAGUAAGUUAAUACCUUGCUGUUUGACGUUACCAACAGAAUAAGCACCGGCUAACUUCGUGCCAGCAGCCGCGGUAAUACGAAGGGUGCAAGCGUUAAUCGGAAUUACUGGGCGUAAAGCGCGCGUAAGUGGUUCAGCAAGCUUGAUGUGAAAUCCCCGGGCUCAACCUGGGAACUGCAUCCAAAAGCUACUGAGCUAGAGUACGGUAGAGGUGGUAGAAUUUCCUGUGUAGCGGUGAAAUGCGUAGAUAUAGGAAGGAACACCAGUGGCGAAGGCGACCACCUGGACUGUACUGACACUGAGGUGCGAAAGCGUGGGGAGCAAACAGGAUUAGAUACCCUGGUAGUCCACGCCGUAAACGAUGUCGACUAGCCGUUGGGAUCCUUGAGAUCUUAGUGGCGCACGUAACGCGAUAAGUCGACCGCCUGGGGAGUACGGCCGCAAGGUUAAA